rnacentral:rRNA from 1 species
GAUGAACGCUGGCGGCGUGCCUAAUACAUGCAAGUCGAGCGAACAGAUAAGGAGCUUGCUCCUUUGACGUUAGCGGCGGACGGGUGAGUAACACGUGGGUAACCUACCUAUAAGACUGGGAUAACUUCGGGAAACCGGAGCUAAUACCGGAUAACAUUUGGAACCGCAUGGUUCUAAAGUGAAAGAUGGUUUUGCUAUCACUUAUAGAUGGACCCGCGCCGUAUUAGCUAGUUGGUAAGGUAACGGCUUACCAAGGCGACGAUACGUAGCCGACCUGAGAGGGUGAUCGGCCACACUGUAACUGAGACACGGUCCAGACUCCUACGGGAGGCAGCAGUAGGGAAUCUUCCGCAAUGGGCGAAAGCCUGACGGAGCAACGCCGCGUGAGUGAUGAAGGGUUUCGGCUCGUAAAACUCUGUUAUUAGGGAAGAACAAAUGUGUAAGUAACUGUGCACGUCUUGACGGUACCUAAUCAGAAAGCCACGGCUAACUACGUG